ACAGGCUGAUGUUGGAGGACCUGUUCAGACGACACUCCUGUAUGAUGAAAACAAGGUAGAAUUGCAAAAAAGAAAAUACGGAAGCAGAAUGAAUUCUCGUCUUUAAAAGUCUGCAGCCGAGAAUUACCUAGGCAGAGUCACUAAUGGAAUAUAAAGUGGUUGGCAUCCAGCCAGAGUGAGAAAGGGAAGAGGGCAAGUGGCAACUCGCAGCAGGCAGCAAACAGCGCUGGAGAUGCAAGUUAGAAUUGUUUCAGUUGUCUAAAGGAAAGUAAUAGUCAUCCACAGGCUUCAGUCUCAAUUGGGCCCUGUUGUGCCAAGUGCUGCAUGGACUUCAAAGCAUUUGUCUAGGAUGUAUUCGGCACAUCAAGAACUGGAACUAAUUAGCAGCUGGUUUAGCACUUGGUUAUUUGAUCAACCAAUGACUGGAUCAAAAGUUGAGCAAAGUUCAAAGCGUUUUCUUGAUGUCUGCGUAAGUACAGGUUAAUUUCUGUGCCAGUUGCUGUAAUGCAGAGAGAGAAAGUGGUUCCUGGUAGUUUACAAGUACUACUAUCAAUUAAUAAAAGCAGAGGGCAGACACAAAGUGUGCUAUUCGUACUGAAGGACAGUGGUGUGGCAGCCGGGUUUGAGAGAGCAGACAUCUCACACAAGGCACUGUGAACUGGUCAAGUCCUUAGUUAUUGGGCUGUGUGUGGCCUCUCUAUCCUGGGAUCAAUUUUAGCCUGAGAAAAUUGCCUUCAGUUAACUGAAAUCAGGGGUGAUCCAGACAGCUGUGUGCUUAACACCUUUUCUUGCUGAUGGGAAAGUUGUGCGUUAGCACCAAUGUCUGAGGGAACUGCUGUUCAGGCAUAGCUCAUCUCAAGAGGAGACCAGCCAGCUUGGCUGCACUCAAAUGCCUUUUAGCAGCUGUGCUCUGAACAAUCUGUCCUUCAUGGCAUCCCUGAAAUACUCUUUUUUUCCCCUCCUACUCUGGAAAGCGUCCCUGUCCCCUUCCAUGCUCUUUCCCAACAGCAGCCCAAUUCUGCAAUCCUCAUUCAAGUAAUUUGUACUUACGUGAGCAUCAG